GUCACAAAGUAAUCAACAGUAACUAAAUCUAGGUAUCAGCACCUAAUGAUUUGUUUGGAGUUACACUUGGUAAGUUUCACAUUCUCAGAAAUUUAUUUUUUCUUCCUCCUACACUGUCAGAAUAGAGAUGAUUUAUGGCAAUAAGAACAGGUGUAUUCGUAUCAAGCGAAUUAAUAAAAUUGAGCUGGAGUAACCCUUUAGGUUCUAGCAAUGAGAUGUCAGCCUCAAAGUUUUC